UUUAACCCUAAGCCGAGAUCUCCAAAUCAAUCCCCAUUUUUCACGAAUCAAAACCCAUAUUUACAAAUCCAAUCUCAUGAAUCAAAAGUACUAGUCCAGAAAUCAAAACCCAAUGUUUUAAUAACUCAAACCCUAGAAAUUCUUAUUUUGUGAAUGAUUCUGUAGGUGUACUUGAAUCCUACCAGCUCUGUUCUAAGCUUAUCUUUAUCAUCAUCAUUAUCAUCAUUUUAAUGGAUAUGCCUGAGAGAAACCGGAUCUGCUCUCCUAAGUCUAAAUUUGAGGUCAUCUUUUACCUCCUCUCUCUUCCAAAUUUCUUUUUGUGUAGUCCUAGGGUUAAGAGAUGAAAGUAUGGGUUUUCUAUUUCAGAAAAAAAAAGUUUUAAUUUGGGUUUUGGUUUCUAGGAGGUUUUUCUGGUUAGGGUUUUAGGUUAAUUCGGUGUAAAGUUUGUUCAUUUUUAUUUUGGGGUUAACAAGGGUUUUUGAUUCGAUUUGAUUUGGGUUUUUUGAUUAACAUGUCUCCUAGAUAUUGCAUGUUGAAGAAUAUUAAGUUGGGCUUUUUCUUUGUGAGAUUUUGUUAGAUCUUUUGUGGGGAAAAAAAAUUAUUGUUUUGAGGUAAGUUAGUCUUUGAAUUGUUUCUGGAAGGUACCUUCUGAUGCUUUCUAGGGUUAUGAGCUUGGAGGUGAGGAGGUGGUGCUUGUGAAAAGGGGGAGUUUGAGUUCUGUCGGGGUUUGGAAAAUUGGGGGUUUGAUAGUAGUGAAGUGUAAAGUGUUGAGUGUUUUGAGAAUUGUGGUAUAACAAGGAAGCAUGGGUUCUUCUUAGAAAUUGAAUUUGCAGGUGUAGAAGCUAUUGGAGGAACUUGGUAAAACAAAGCAAAGGUACCUCUCAACACCAGCAAAAAUGCUUAUGAAGUGUUUGAGACAAGUCCUUAAAGAAGCAGAGUGACCUAGAGAACCGAUUUACUCCUAGGCUUGUCAUACCAGAGGUAAGAUCCGCGGGGAGAGAUUGCUGAAAGAUACAAAUUGGUCCUGGAAAUUCUUCCAUUCAGAGGUGCUGCUGCAAUAAAAGUUUGGGCUGGCUUCCUGCAUCAAGAUCAACUGUGCAACAAAUACAGAAAAUUGGUAUGUUAAAUCAGCCAUAACUUAUCUCCGCGACUCCGAGAUCAUCUUCAAGUCAUAUGUGGUAUUAGUUCAUCUCAUUUACUUUUAUAAGUUCAAGAAAGUAUUUAAAUGUAUGUCAAUCUUUGAUCUUUUGCAGAGAGUAUAAGUUGUAUGUAAUCCAUUUUGGAAAAUAGAAUACUGUAAGAAUUUAUUGUUGGAUUCAAUGGAGCA